AAUGAGGGUGAGAGUCCUGUUUGUCAUGUGCAGCCUUCUGUGCACGGUGUAUAUUUGCUGAGUCACACUCCUUGGCAUUGGAAUGCAAAGUGGGUGGUAAGUUUCAUGCAAAGGUAAAUAUGCAAUUGAGACUGAUAGCGCACAAGUACCAUGAGGGACAUAUGAAAAGGACUUUGAAAAGAGAAUUAAAUGAGUUUGUAUUUGCUAAACACAAAGUAAACAGACUUGAUUUCCUCAGUGAGAUUGUAGUGCUUGCUUAACAAUGGGUUUUGGCUGCAAGUGCAAUAAUUCUUGCUUUGUGUGCCAGUUUUUAUGUGGACAUUUGAUUACCUUUGCACAUGAAUGGUAAUUUUCCUGCGGGGUGUGGAUUGCAUAUGCAUGUAAUGAUUUGCAUGUUUGUUAAAUGUGUCUGGUGUAUUUGUUUGUGUCCUUGUCCUUGAGGUUGCUUUCUCCCUUGGGCUUACAUGCCCUGGCACACACAUUCUGGCAAAAUGCUUCUGCUUGACCCGUCUUGAAACACGGACCAAGGAGUCUAACAGAUGUGCAAGUUUGAAGGUGGUAUACCUGUGUGUGUAAUGAAAGUAUUGGCUGGGAUAUUUGCACCAGCAGCCGACUAAUUAGCAGACAGAGGUUUGAGUUGGAGCAUAUCUAUUAGGACCCGAAAGAUGGUGAACUAUGCUUGAACAGAAAGAAUUCAGAGGAAACUCUGAUGGAGGUUCGUAUCGAUACUGACGUGCAAAUCGUUCGUCAUAUUUGGGUAUAGGGGCGAAAGACUAAUCGAACCAUCUAGUAGCUGGUUCCCUCCGAAGUUUCCCUCAGGAUAGCUGGAGUUGCACAGUUUUAUCAGGUAAAGCGAAUGAUUAGAGGAAUUGGGGACAGAUGUGUCCUUGACCUAUUCUCAAACUUUAAAUGGGUAAUAUGUAGUGGUUGCUUGAUGGAACUUCUAAAAUGAAUGGCAAUAUUAGGUGGGCCAUUUUUGGUAAGCAGAACUGGCGAUGAGGGAUGAACCUAAUGCUGGGUUAAGGGGCUUAAUUAC
rnacentral:rRNA from 1 species